rnacentral:rRNA from 1 species
AUUGAACGCUGGCGGCAUGCCUAACACAUGCAAGUCGAACGGUUUUGGAGCUUGCUCCAAGAUAGUGGCGGACGGGUGAGUAACGCGUAGGAAUCUGCCUUGUAGAGGGGGACAACCCGGGGAAACUCGGGCUAAUACCGCAUAAUAAUCGAGAGAUGAAAGGGUGGGACCUUAGGGCCACUCGCUAUAAGAUGAGCCUGCGUUGGAUUAGCUAGUUGGUGGGGUAAAGGCCUACCAAGGCGACGAUCCAUAACUGGUCUGAGAGGAUGACCAGUCACACUGGGACUGAGACACGGCCCAGACUCCUACGGGAGGCAGCAGUGGGGAAUAUUGGACAAUGGGGGCAACCCUGAUCCAGCAAUACCGCGUGUGUGAAGAAGGCCUGCGGGUUGUAAAGCACUUUUAGCGAUGAGGAAGAGGUUAAGUCGAAUAGGCUUAGCUUUUGACGUUAGUCGCAGGAAAAGCACCGGCUAACUCUGUGCCAGCCGCCGCGGUAA